rnacentral:rRNA from 1 species
UACAGAGGUCCCAAGCGUUGUUCGGAUUCACUGGGCGUAAAGGGUGCGUAGGUGGCCAGGUAAGUUUGGUGUGAAAGCUCGGAGCUUAACUCCGAAAAGUCAUUGAAUACUAUCUGGCUGGAGGGUCGGAGGGGAGACUGGAAUUCUCGGUGUAGCAGUGGAAUGCGUAGAUAUCGAGAGGAACACCAGUGGCGAAGGCGAGUCUCUGGACGACUCCUGACACUGAGGCACGAAAGCUAGGGGAGCAAACAGG